rnacentral:rRNA from 1 species
AGAGUUUGAUCCUGGCUCAGGAUGAACGCUAGCGACAGGCCUAACACAUGCAAGUCGAGGGGCAACAUGGUAUCAGCUUGCUGAUACUGAUGGCGACCGGCGCACGGGUGAGUAACGCGUAUGUAAUCUACCUGUAACAGAGGGAUAACCCGGAGAAAUCCGGACUAAUACCUCAUAGCACAUAUUAUUCGCAUGAAUUUUUAUGUUAAAAGAGACUCGGUUACAGAUGAACAUGCG